UACGUAGGGCGCAAGCGUUGUCCGGAAUUAUUGGGCGUAAAGGGUGCGUAGGCGGCGCGGUAAGUCGGGUGUGAAAUCUCGGGGCUUAACUCCGAAACUGCAUUCGAUACUGCCGUGCUUGAGGACUGGAGAGGAGACUGGAAUUUACGGUGUAGCGGUGAAAUGCGUAGAUAUCGUAAGGAAGACCAGUGGCGAAGGCGGGUCUCUGGACAGUUCCUGACGCUGAGGCACGAAGGUCAGGGGAGCAAACGGG
rnacentral:rRNA from 1 species